GGGAAUGGACGGGGAGAAAGCUGAAAGUCCCAAUUGCCUCAGAAGCGUUCCCACAUCCUCCCAUAAAGGUGUGAUGCCGGUGCAGGACCACCAAAUAUGCACCAUCGUGCCCUUCUCCACUCCACAUCUCCAGCACAGGGGAGACACAGUCGGGUAUAUUUUGUGUAGCUUAGUUGGGGUAAGGUACCAUCUGUAUAGUAGUUUUUUGUGGGCUUCUAUGUGGGAAUAACAUUUUGUCCAUUUGGACAGGCCGUUCAGGGCACCCAGCCAGGUACCAUCCGGUAGGUCCGUACCUAAG